UACGUAGGGUGCAGGCGUUAAUCGGAAUUACUGGGCGUAAAGCGUGCGCAGGCGGUUUUGUAAGUCUGUCGUGAAAUCCCCGGGCUCAACCUGGGAAUUGCGAUGGAGACUGCAAGGCUAGAAUCUGGCAGAGGGGGGUGAGAAUUCCACGUGUGAGCAGUGAAAUGCGUAGAGAUGUGGAGGAACGACCGAUGGCGAGGCAGCCCCCUGGGUCAAGAU
rnacentral:rRNA from 1 species